ACGGGGGUAGGGUUCCACUCCUCCGGCGGCCGGUUUUGUGUGCCCCGCGAUGUCCUAACUCUGGUUGCAUCCGUCGCCUCCCUCACACACCGUCGUCGCCGCCGUCAAGCACUGUCUAGCCGUUGCCACAUCUCUCAUUCAUGGCCCUAGGUUGCAGACGCUGAAGAACUUGCCCUUGAACGGUGUACGACGACGACAAGAAGAAGUGGAGGCGAUCUGUCUGUAUUUAUAGAUUCAGAGGCUGAAGGAACAAGGUAUAACAGCUAAGACAUCUUCUCAAAGUCUAAAGAUAAUGAGUUCUUGGGAGGAGGAUGCUAGACAAUUUCUUUUAGACCAGGAAGAAGAAGAUGAUGAACUCUUCUUUGUAAUUGUCUCUGUUGUUCUCGCGGCUAUGCAAGAAGAGAAAAGGGCAGUCCAUACUUCUUCUCUUACUGGUGCUAUGAAGAUUAAGGAAGUUCUAGAAGGGCAUGAAAUUUGGAGCAAAGUUGAGUUUGGGAUGGAGCCAAAUAUUUUCAGAGCGAUACUAGCUUUCCAUAGAGCCGAGGGUCUUCUACAUGACACAAGAGGUGUUACUGUUGAAGAACAGUUUGGCAUGUUCAUGUACAUGAUCUCGCAUAAUGCUACUAAUCAAGAUAUGCAAAAAUGGUUUCAACAUAGUGGUGAAACCAUUCACAGGAAGAUAAAUGAAGUCUUUGAUAUAAUUCCAGCCUUAACAAGUAGGUUUGUAAAGCUUCCAAGUUCCGUACAAACUCACAUCAAAAUUGUAACCGACUCUCGUUUCAUGCCUUUUUUCUAGGUAGACAUAAGACAAAAAAAGUUUUAUUGGAACCACAAUUUGUUUGGAGUUAA